rnacentral:rRNA from 1 species
CCUACGGGAGGCAGCAGUGAGGAAUAUUGGUCAAUGGUCGGAAGCCUGAACGAGCCAAGCCGCGUGCGGGAGGAAGGUACAGAGUAUCGUAAACCUCUUUUGUCAGGGAACAAAGCCUGGUACGCGUCCCCGGCUGAGUGUACCUUACGAAAAAGCAUCGGCUAACUCCGUGCCAGCAGCCGCGGUAAUACGGAGGAUUCGAGCGUUAUCCGGAUUUAUUGGGUUUAAAGGGUGCGCAGGCGGUCUGUUAAGUCAGCGGUCAAAUCCCGGGGCCCAACCCCGGCCCCGCCUUGGAUCCGGGCAGUCUAGAGUGGGAGAGAGGUAGGCGGAAUGCGUGGUGUAGCGGUGAAAUGCAUAGAGAUCGCGCAGAACUCCGAUUGCGAAGGCAGCAUGCCGGAUCAAAACUGACGCUGAGGCACGAAAGCGUGGGUAGCGAACAGGAUUAGAUACCCUUGUAGUC